AAAUGCAGAACUUUCCCUAUAAGAACCCUUCACAUUCUUCUCCAACCUCACAGGCCACAGCAGCCCAAAUUUGGAUACUAACACAAACACAAACAUAAUAAACUGUACCAACAUUCACAUUCUUAUACAUCUCACAAUGUCUUCAAUGGGUGCUAGCUAUGCUCUUCUUAACGUUCAACGAAAGCGUCUCCAAGAGAAACUGCACAAGGAGAAAAAUAUAUCUGAAAAGGAUGGAGCGGCAGAUAAAAGUGUUGCCAGUGCUCAAAAAUCCGAGGGUAAAAGCAAGAUUCAUCCCUCAAAUGUCUCGGAUUCUACAAAAUGAACAUGGAAUCGUCAGGGCUUGCCUUAUUGCAUGUCUACUUAAUAUAAUUCUACAUGUGAAGUUUGUAUGUGCACUCUCUUAUGUUUAAGUGUGUAAAUCUUUGCUCUCCAGCUGCCCACAGUUUCUUCGACACUUGUACGUUCAAUUUGAUUUAAUGAAAAUCAAAGUGUUUUUUUUUUCA
rnacentral:lncRNA from 1 species